rnacentral:lncRNA from 1 species
AUGUUUUGCACUUGCGAAAGAAGCCAAGCGAGUCUCCUGGUUGUCCGCACACGAGGCUCUGGACCCCGCGCACAGAGUGCACUGUGCCCCUUUUCCUUCCCGCACCCGAAAGCCCCUCAGCACUGGCCAGGCGCAGCCAAGGUGGGCAGGGGGAGCGGGUCUCACCGCCUCUCCGCAUCCCCGCCCUGCAGGGACUCCGGGAACGGGGCAGAGAGGAAAAGAGAAAGGGGGGGAGGAAGAGGGGAAGGAGAAGGGGAAGGGGAAGGAAAAGGAGAAGGAAAGGGGAAAAGAAAGGGCAGAGGGAGGGGAAGGAGAAGGAAAGGGGAAUGGGAAGGGGAAGGGGAAGGAGAAGGGGAAGGGGAAGGGGAAGGAGAAGGGGAAGGAGAAGGGGAAGGGGAAGGGGAAGGAGAAGGGGAAGGGGAAGGGGAAGGGAAGGGCCAUGCGGCCGAAGGAGGUGGCCCAGGAGAGGCGAAGCGAGGGCAGGGCAGCCCCCGGUGCCGCUGGCGGUGCCGGUGCCCGUGCGGACAGGACGAGCCCGCAGCCGCCCCCGAGGGGGUGCCGGACCCGGACCCGGACCCGGACCCGGAGCCGGGCAGCGAGCAGGGCCGCCCGGGCAGCCGGGGCCGCUCGCCUCUCCCGGGGCAGCAGGACGUGCCGCGUACGCAACCGCAACCACACACGCACCCGGGAGGGCUGGAAAUACUCCGCAGGCAGGUUAUAACUUUCAGUGGCAGCUCGGCCGCCGGCCCACUCGUGCCCCGAGCGCCGGGGCCUCGCCCGCCCCUGGCAGCCCCGCGCGCGGGGAGGGCCCCGGUGCUCGGCGCUGUAUUUACCCGGCGCGGCCGGCUCCUUCCCGGCACGGCGAUCUGCGGCAGCGAGCCGCUCUCCUGGGGCUCCGCGGCUAGAUCCCAGACCCCUGCCCUCCCCCGCCAAAUACCCCCAACCAAACAAAACAAAACAAAAAAAAGCCCAAGGCAGAGAAGAGUGGUUUAUUGGCGCCGCACAAGCCCCGCGCUCUUCCCCAACCUCCUUGCCGGGCUGCGCUCGCGUUCAUUUCAUCGCACCGGCGACAUGAAGACCUCAUACCUCCGGACAACUGGGUGA